GUCUCGGAUCGCUCAGAACCAAGUGCGCAUGUGCAACUGUUAGCAACCCCCUGCUCCUACUGCAGUAAAUACGCAAACACAUGCCAACCCAGAUGGAAAAGUGGUUUGAGGCAGGGCGUGCCUUAAUUAGCUGCCUGAGGGACCAGAGGUUCGGGUAUGACUCAUGGGAGUCCUUAGCUUCGAGCCACCCAGAGGAUGUCCUGAAUUACCCAAGUUGCCAUCUGGAAAUGUCGCUGUGGAAUGUUACAGACAUCAGCUGCCAGAGCUCAGUUCAGGCCCCUCUUCCUAGAAGAUUAUUAACCCUUGGGUGCUUGGUUCUAGACUAAUCAUUCUUUAAUAGAAAUAAAUAAAUAAGAUUAUUUAAUUACUUUUAUUUUA